AUGAUGAACAUAGAGCACAAGGCUUUCUGCAAGCUCCGCCGCUCCAUGCACCCCACCUCGCCAGCUGACAUCGAUCCUAAGGUCCACAGCACCGUGGAAAGAGCUGUGAGGAGCAUUCUGGGCGAGCAGUCCAAUGAGCCCCGUAGCAACCUGCUCAGCCCAUCUCAGGUGGUGGUGGAGGUGGUGCCCAGGCUCCUCCUGGCCCUGUGGCUUCAGCCAGAGGAAGGCCAUUCAGAGCACCCAAGAGAGAGAGACUUAGAGAGCACUCUGACAGGUGCCGUUUGUCAUGACAUCUUAGUAGAACCUUUCAACUGGCCAGUGUUUAGAAGCUACGGUUUGCAUUUGUUCACAUUCUGUUCCUCUUUUUUCCCUUUCCAGAGGAUGUUGCUGUGGUCAUCCCGGAUGUCACCCCACACGUCACCAAGGACGUGGCACUGGAAGUUCCAUGCAGAGCUAGGAAAGGGGCAGUCCGGCUAUUAUUUUGCAGGCUUUGGAGGGCAGUGUGCUGCUGCCCCUGCCACAAGGAAGAGGAGAAACAAUAUUAAUUAUUCAUCAGACCUUCAGAAAUGGGAUUGA
rnacentral:lncRNA from 1 species